UUUUUUAAGAGGUAAGGCCUGCUCACUGAGAAUUUCAAGAGCCGCAGUAUACUGACUGUGCUAAGGUAGCAUAAUCAUUAGUUUCUUAAUUGGGAACUGGUAUGAAGGGCUAAACGAGAAAUCAGCUUUUUUUAUUAAACCCUGAUUAAAAUUUAACUUUUAGUGAAAAUGCUAAAAUUUUACAAAAAGACGAGAAGACCCCGUAGAGCUUUAUAAUUUUUCUAUGAGAAAAUGAACUAAAAAGUUUUUUCAUAAUUUUAAAAUUAUUUUGUUGGGGCGACAUUUAGAUAUAAAAAACUCUUUAUAAAUAACUCUUAUAUUUAAGUUUUAAAUUGAUCCUUUAAAAAAGAUUAUAAGAAAAAAUUACCUUGGGGAUAACAGCGUAAUCUUUUUUGAGAGUUCUAAUCGACAAAAAGGUUUGCGACCUCGAUGUUGGACUAAAAUUAGAGUAAGGCGCAGAAGUUUUACUUUCUAGGUCUGUUCGACCUUUAAUUUUUU
rnacentral:rRNA from 1 species